GCUAAUAUACCUGAGAGAUGAAUUGCUACUUGUUGGUGCUCUCAGGUGCAUUAAGGCAUAAACUUUAAUGGCUCUGAGCAGCUUAACCUGGAACCUCCACCCACAGCUGUAAACCCAAGAGCUCUUUUUAAGCCUAGCUCUAUGUUCUUUAUUCUUUCUCUGAGCUUCCUUGGAACAAUGUUGAUCUCCAGGUCUGUUUGAAGAUUGCUUUCUGGUCUUGUUUUUGGCUAAUGCUGUAGAUUUGUCUGCAAAGUGCCUGAUGCGAUCUUGAUGCUGAGCUGUGUGGACUGAUUUUUCUAGCUUGAUUUCACAUCUGCCUCAUCAGUUGGACUCUGUUUAAUGAGCUAGAUUCCUAUUGCAGUGAGUCACCUCUGGAAGUUUCCUGCUUAAACACUACAGGACUAGACUUUGGUUGACAAGUCCUACCUUCUUUUUGCUGUGGGAUCUCCUUAGUGCUUCACCGUAUUGUGUUCUUGUUUGCUCUUCUGCAUGUGUAGAGAUCCCUGUAAGACUUUUAAGCAUCAUGGAGGUUAUCUUACUGAAAACAAAUCUGUGGCAUGAAGCCAGGGAGCUGUAAGAGCAUGGAGGAAGAGAUCAUGUCCCCUAACAAGAGCAGUUAGGUUCUCCUAUGUCUCUUUAGUUUAUUUGUCUGUCUUCUGCAAAAUCUGUGGCUGCUGAACACAUGAAAAAACCCUAUACCUUUUUGAUGUACUGGAGAGCAGAAGCAACUGGAUGUAAUUUCUUAAUGUCCUAGGAACAAAUGGCGGCUGUUUUUCCAAGUGCCAAAAAGUGUGGCUACAGAUGCACUACCAACAUACAAGGCGUGAAGCCAGUGUGUCCUGCUUUCUGUCAAAUAUGUGACUCUGUUUGCAAGUACGAUUAGAAUUGUGUUGCUUCAAAUCUAGCCUGAGGUGGUGCAGAGCCUUGUGAAAGUGAAAGAUAACUCCCCAUGUGAUUGCAAGCUAACUAGUGCGCAGGAGAGCAGCUCCCAGCCAAUUUAGGCACAAGAUGUACAUCAAAAUAGAACAAGAGACUUCUAAAACAGGAGGUGGAGAAAGUGCACACCAUUCAAAAUCCAUUAAGAGGAGCUUCAGUCAACCUCAAACAGUCAUUUCUAAUGCAAUUAAAGGAAGGUGAAGUAGACAGCAUGUUGAAGAAAGAACAUCACUCGGAAUUUUGUUUGCCAUACGAGAAACGGACAUCAGAAAACAGGAGCCAAAAUCAAAGCUAGACAGACCCAAGAAAUCCAGGACAAAAAAACAAUGACAACAAAACACACACAAAAACCCCAGCAGCGCCUGACCUUCUGAUGUUGCUAGUUUUGAAACUGCUGAGAAAUUUUGACUUCCUAUUUCAGGAAGUUGGAAUCUGUGUUUUGUAUGACAGUACUGCAUAUGAGGAAGCUUAUGUUCAUUGUGGUAUUGAAUAGAGGUGGAACAAUACUUAUGAUAAUUUCUGGUUUGAAAAUUGAGCUUUUUUUGUUUGAGGCCGAUGAACCAUAUGUUUUGUAUUAAAUACUUCUAAUUCCGUGAGUGAAAACGACUGCAACUGUUGUGGGUUUUUCAUUGUUUACAGAAACUUAUGAGAGAAAUCAAGUGAGAUGAAGACAGGAUGUACUGUAGAGUCUAUUAAAGUAACAGAGUGGAAUCUGCAGUGUAGAAUUCGUAGACAGGAGGGCCUUAAAACAGAGCAUGUUGAAUCAAUUAUUUUAGCUAUAGUUGACAUAAAUCUGGAAAUAUAUAUAUAACUAUAAUACAUAUUAUUAUAUCUAAAAUUUAGGACUAUCUUCAGCUAUAUAGCUCCAGUGGUUUAAAAGGGUUGUUAUCCUUCUUCUGCAGUAACUGGAAAAAAAGCCUUCAGUGUGAGAUUUCCGAAUGGCAACUUUCCUGCAUAUCAUAUGAAGGAAUUAAGCUGCAAAUUCAAAUGUGCAUAUAUUCUUGCUGCCUCUUUUGAAAAGCUUCAUAGGAAAUUAUUUCCUUUGGGCAGACUAGUUCUUUGCUUGCCUUUAAUUCAUGCCUGAGCUUGACUUAAGGGGCCCUUUUUUCAGAGAUACCCAAGCUUAUAUAGCUUUAACUGGGUUGGAGCAAAUAAUGGAGAAGUUGCAGCAGUGUUAGUACAAUAUCUUGCCUUGGAACAAAUCAUCUUCCUCCUACCACGGCUGAUUAGCCUCAUCCUAUGUGAUCUGUAUCAUGUCUGGCACCCAGUUUGGUUCUCUCAGUGCAAACUGGGUCCAUCUUCUGCAUUGCAUCACACUGAAUCUCGAAACAAAAGUUGGAGUGCAAAUUGCACUAGGAAUAUUUGCAAAAAAAAAAAGACUCAUUGAUUUGUUUUCAAAAGCAUUGACUCAACUUCCACUUCUGGACAGCAUUAAUUAAUCUUAUUUUUUUGGUGUCACAAUCAUCUCUGUGGCCGUUAGUUGUGAUAUCACAUGAAUUAUUUUUUGGUAUUUUUUUUAAAUUAAAACUGCAAACCAUUUAAGUGGAACAGAUGAAUUCACACAAUUAUAAGAAUAUACUAAUGUUCCCAGACAUAAUUUUUCAGAGCAGGGUUAGGCCCUGGAAUCCUUUUCUUUGGAACAUGUUUCCACAUGGAAGUACUCAGAAAUGAUUAAAAAUUUCAAGACUGCUGAUUACUAUGUGUAUUUUCCCCAGAUGUAGGACUUGAUUUCUGUUUUUCAGAGCUUCAGCAGUCCCUUCUUCCUUUGCACAUUCCCCUUUUGUUCCAAGAAAGCAAUAACUGGCUUAGAAACAGACUCGGAUUUCUUUCCUGGUAGUACAGCGCUUAUUACUGUGACGAGGACAGUCCAGCCUGCACAUCCCUUCACCUUUGCUUUCAAACUCCUUUGGGUAAUUUGAUCCCACCUGACACUCCUGACACUUCCUGAUGCCUAAAUUGGCUUUUCGCAGAGUGGCGUUUCUCCUUUGUGACUGACAGGGAGAUCUGUUGCUGCCAGUGUGGAUCUCUCUUUCUGGUACUUCUCUGCUCUAUCCUCUAACUUACAGCGGUUUUCAAUUCUCUGUGCUCCUUCUUUCCCUCCCUGGAGAAUCUCGUUCUAUUUGUGGUUACGUUCCAUCUGUCUUUCCUAUAUCCUUAUCUCCUCCCUAGAUUUACUGUAAAUUUCCCAGUUUUUCAUCCUUAUUCAAAACUUCAUCCUUUUCCACAUUGCUUACCUGAAUGGAUAAUGUGAUACCACUUGUUGUGCAUGCUUUCUAACCUUUCAAAUGCAUGGAACCUUUGAUACAGAGCUUCUGAGUGCCUAUUUUAUUAAGCUAGCCUUUUCUAGUACCAAUGUCAGCACUGGAAACAUUUUCCUCUCGGUGGGGAUUUUUUUCCCAGUGCUCUUUGACUUAUAUCCUCUGUUUCUAACCUCAUAAACUGGGAGACAGAGGGAGCCCUUUCUCUGAGUUCGGAAUUCAAAGUCAGUGUUUGUGAUUAGACCGUCAGUCUCACCGUGCUUCCCCAAGUUUCAUAAGAAGAAAUUGAAUUUCUGAAAUUGUCCACCUACAGGCUUCCUAUAACUAUACAUAACACUUUUGUUUUUCUUCUUUAACAGGUAUCUAGUACUUCUACAGAACAAAACUUUACCUAAAGAACCCCAGAAUUUAAGCUUCUCUUCCAGCAACAGACAAAUAAAAAGAACCCCGAAGUAGUCCUUGUUAUCUUUCUUCUGCUUGAGUCAAUUUUUAGACUUUUAAAGCAGUUCAGUCCAACCAUAUUGUUGAGUGAGUUCCAGAGAGAACAUCUGUGAGCAGAGAGGAAAUUAACUUCACAUUAAAUUGAUGGGAGGACGCAUCUAGAGUCUUAGAUCCAAAGCAGUAUAAACAGAGUUAAAUUGUGUUGUUUCUGUGAUCUGACUAUUAUAUUAAGCCUUGCUGGAGCUUAUGUUUUGUAAUACAAGACAAAUAAAUACAGCCUGCAACCUGUGAGUUGUUUAUUAUGAACUACAAGUUUUGUAUAGCAGCUCCUAUCAAUAUUGAAGCUAAAAGAAUAUGCUUUGGGGGAAAUAUUUGAAGGAAUUAGCUGAAAUGAACUGAUAUAUUUUAUUUUUAGAAAAUUAUAAUGAAUACUGACAAUUUCUGGAAGUAAAAUUGAAAUAAUCUUAAGGGAAAUAAAACUGAACAAAAACAU
ensembl:lncRNA